UUAUUGGAGAGUUUGAUCCUGGCUCAGGAUGAACGCUGGCGGCGUGCCUAAUACAUGCAAGUCGAGCGAAUGGAUUAAGAGCUUGCUCUUAUGAAGUUAGCGGCGGACGGGUGAGUAACACGUGGGUAACCUGCCCAUAAGACUGGGAUAACUCCGGGAAACCGGGGCU
rnacentral:rRNA from 1 species